GUCGCAAGUGCUUUGGAAACCUUUCCUGAAGGAAGCGGUCCGAUGCCUUGCUCAGUGAUGUAUGAUGGAGUGAGCCAGCCUCCUCGAUGAUGGCGCUUCCUCUGGAAUCUGUGAGCCUGAAAUAAACUCUUCCCUCCCACAAGCUGCUCCUGGUUGGGGGUUUUUCCAGCAAGGCCCAGGUAGAACACCUCCAAUUUACAGAUGGGAAGCUGAGUUAAGAAACAAAGGGUCUUUUGCAAUUCAUCCAAGUGGUGCCUGGCAGGGCUGCCUCUGGAGUGCAAAGCCUUCUUCGUGAAGAGUGAGAGGUACUGAAGCAGUGU